UACGUAGGGGCAAGCGUUGUCCGGAAUCACUGGGCGUAAAGCGCACGUAGGCGGAUUGCUAAGUCAGGGGUGAAAUCCUGGAGCUCAACUCCAGAACUGCCUUUGAUACUGGCGACCUUGAGUCCGGGAGAGGUGAGUGGAACUGCGAGUGUAGAGGUGAAAUUCGUAGAUAUUCGCAAGAACACCAGUGGCGAAGGCGGCUCACUGGCCCGGUACUGACGCUGAGGUGCGAAAGCGUGGGAGCAACAG
rnacentral:rRNA from 1 species